UGUCCGAUGGUGUAACUGGCAACACAAAUGAUUCUGGAUCAUUAGAGUCUAGGUUCGACCCCUAGUCGGACAA
rnacentral:tRNA from 1 species